rnacentral:rRNA from 1 species
GUGUCAGCAGCCGCGGUAAUACGUAGGGGGCGAGCGUUACCCGGAAUUACUGGGCGUAAAGGGGGCGUAGGCGGCCCGGCAAGUCAAGUGUGAAAUCCGGCGGCUCAACCGCUGGGCUGCGCUUGAAACUGCCGGGCCUGAGUGCAGCAGAGGGAGACGGAAUUGCCGGUGUAGGGGUGAAAUCCGUAGAUAUCGGCAAGAACGCCGGUGGGGAAGCCGGUCUCCUGGGCUGUUACUGACGCUGAGGCCCGAAAGCUAGGGGAGCGAACGGGAUUAGAUACCCCGGUAGUCCUAGCCGUAAACGAUGCUCACUAGGUGUGGGGCGCACAUGCGCUCUGUGCUGAAGCUAACGCGUUAAGUGAGCCGCCUGGGGAGUAUGCCCGCAAGGGUGAAACUCAAAUGAAUUGACGGGG